CGGGGUGCAGCAGGCGUGAAAACUUUACAAUGCCGGCAACGGCGAUAAGGGAACCUCGAGUGCCAGGUUACAAAUCUGGCUGUCGUGAUGCUUAAAAAGCAUUGCAUAGCAAGGGCCGGGCAAGACCGGUGCCAGCCGCCGCGGUAACACCGGCGGCUCGAGUGGUAACCGUUAUUAUUGGGUCUAAAGGGUCUGUAGCCGGCCGGGUAAGUCUCUUGGGAAAUCUGGCAGCUUAACCGUCAGGCUUUCAGGAGAUACUGCCUGGCUCGAGGCCGGGAGAGGUGAGAGGUACUUCAGGGGUAGGGGUGAAAUCUUGUAAUCCUUGAAGGACCACCAGUGGCGAAGGCGUCUCACCAGAACGGACCUGACGGCAAGGGAAGAAAGCUAGGGGCACGAACCGGAUUAGAUACCCGGGUAGUCCUAGCCGUAAACGAUACUCGCUAGGUGUCGGCCACGGUGCGACCGUGGUCGGUGCCGUAGGGAAGCCGUGAAGCGAGCCACCUCGGAAGUAC
rnacentral:rRNA from 1 species